AUACGGAGGAUGCGAGCGUUAUCCGGAUUUAUUGGGUUUAAAGGGUGCGUAGGCUGUGCGUUAAGUCAGGGGUGAAAUGCCGUCGCUCAACGACGGAGCUGCCCUUGAUACUGGCGUGCUGGAGUACGGAUGCCGUUGGAGGAAUGAGUGGUGUAGCGGUGAAAUGCUUAGAUAUCACUCAGAACACCGAUUGCGAAGGCAUCUUACGAAUCCGUCACGUGCGCUGAGCCACAAAAGCGUGGGGAUAGAACAGGAUUAGAUACCCUGGUAUUCCCCGCCGUAAACGAUGAUGACUAGCCGUCGGCGAUAGACAGCCGGUUGCCAAGCGAAAGCGAUAAGUCAGCCACCGGGGGAGUACGUCGGCAACGAUGGAACUCAAAUGAAUUGACGGGG
rnacentral:rRNA from 1 species